AAAGGUAUAGCUCAGUGGCAGAGUGCAUGCUUAGCGUACAUGAAAGCCUGGCUUCAAUCCCCAGUACCUCCA
rnacentral:tRNA from 1 species